UGCUGACUCAGUGUCUUAUCACCUGUCCUGUCCCCGGCCCUCCUCCUGGGAGAGGCCCCACAGGUGGGUGCUGUUUCUCAUCUGGCCUUUUUCUCCCCUCUGGGCGCUCAAGCCCCCUCUCCUCCAGCUGCUCCCAGCGGCCCUACUGCCUUUCAGUUUCCUGGACUCCAGCUCUUCCCAAAACCGUUGCGACGGCUUUGCCCGUCCCUGCGCCCAGGAAGUCGUGCGAUCGAGGAGUCCCCCACCCGGGUCAUUUCAUGAUUCGCAGCCUGGUGCCGGGAAAACACGCUGGUGUGUCAGGAACAGCCGCGGGUCUUGUCCUGCCCUGGUUGCCACUCUCUCUGGGACCCCAUGCCACUGCCCUCUUCUCUCUGGACCUCGGUCUCCUCCUCUGGCAAGGGACUCGCCUUGACGUUAUCGAAGGUCCUCUGGUUCGAGCGUGGGUGAGGUGUAUCUGGGCCAACACCCCCGAGCGAGCAGGGUUCAGGAGGGGACCCAGGAGGCCUGGCUGGGCCGUUCAAGCUGGGCAUGGGGUCCUAACCCCGGGGACGGACUGGCCAGGCAGGCCUUUCUCCAGCGGCUGCUCCUCUCCUUGGGAGCUAUUGCUGGAGGGGGAGGUGGCCUGGGCUUGGAGGCGAGGCUGCUGGGCCACGUGGGACUGGAGCCAGUGGGCUUCCAGGAAGGGAAACUAAAGAUACCCCCUUCCCGGCACGGCUGGAACCCUGAGAGGCCAGGGAUCCCGUUCCAGUCGUGCUGUCGCCGGGGGCAAGGGGUGGUGACCAGGAGGGCCCUCCAGCAGCUGUGUUGGGCCUGGCGCUGCUGGGGGCUGGAGCCCAGGACCGGGCAUCUAUUGGCCGAUCCCUGAGCCGGUGGGCGAGGUCAGGGCAGGGCCAGCGUGUUACUGGAAGCCCGGUGGCUCCGUCUGUCCCUCUGCCAAGCUGCCCACUGCAUUCUUCGGCCUCCUAUUUCCAGGCAGGCUCUGCAGAGGUCCCAGCCGUGGCCUGCCUUGAGCCUGGGUGCCGUCAUGCCCAUGUUUGGGGCCCUUGUUGGGGACAGCAGUUGAGAUGGGCGGCAGGGGGGUGGGGUGGGCAGGAUGCCGUGAAGGUAGCUGGGCUCUCGGGGAGCAAGGAUCACCUUUCCCUGUGCGGUUCUGAGAGGUCAGGUGACCUGGGUGAGGGAACCCGUGUGUGUGUGUGUGUGUGUGUGUGUGCGCGCGCACACAGACUGCAGAGACCAGGGGUCAUAGACUUGAGCUUGCCCAAGUAUCCCAGGAUAUGCAGGCCAGUGUGAAGGGCCUGGGGGCGCACAGAGGGGUGCACCGUGCCGCUGUCCCCCCGGAUGUCAACGUAGAGAUGGAAUUUUGGAUCUGCAACCCCUGGGUCCAGGGAGUGAAGUGGAAAAGCGGUCCCACCUGUCACUGCUGGUAAGCGAAGAGUGGGGAUAAGGCCCCUCACCGGGCCAUGGCGAGGACACAUAGGUGGCACCCGGGGGGGGGGGGGCAGCGAGCUUGGCGUAAUGGCAGGAGCAGCCCCCCCGGGCUUUGCAGGGUAACCCUCAGCUUUUUCUGACCUCUGCACCUCCCCCCAUCUGCCCUUCCAGAAUCCUCUCGUGGGGCACAUUCAGUCCACCUGAUCUGCCUGACCCAGGGCUUAUCUUGUGCUUUCUGUCGGAGUUCUAGGUCCACAGGCUUUCUUGCCUGCUCAAAGCUGGCCCUGCCAUUCCCACCAGACCACAAGGACCUUCUCCAGGACUCAGAGCCCAGGGCCUUUCAUCGGACAGAGGAGAUCUGAGCACCUGGCUGGCUUUAGGGGUGCCUCCUUCUCCCAUCGUGGGGGCCUCCCGACCGCAGCCAGGUUGGGCUAGCCCCAAAGGAGACAGCAGGAUGGUUCCAGGAAGCCUGUGCAGCCAGCGAUUCCUCUCCAAGCCCCCACCAGCCUCUGUCCUCACUGCCAUCCGUGUGUGGCGGCUGGUCUCCAAGAUGGCCCCAGCGAUCCUGCAUUGAACCAAGUCAGGGGCGAGUCGUCACUCAGCUGAAGUUACCAACGGGCCCCGGAAAGUGCACCCCCAACUCAGUGAGAAGAGGGUCUUGGCCUUUUGUCCCUGCUGGUGCCUCUUCCUUCUGACGCCUCAGACCCCAGCAGGACGCAGCACCUGUUUUCCACGCCGUGUGACCGAUUCCCGCACGUACAGUGGCUUAAACCACGCGCGCGUCUGUCACCGUGCAGGUUAUUUAUUUAUUUUGAGAGAGAGAGAGAGGAAGCAAGCAGGCCCUGCACCAUCAGCACUGAGCCCAAUGUGGGGUUCGAACCCACGAACUGGGAGAUCAUGACCUGAGCCCAAACCGAGCCGGCCGCUUAACCACCUGAGCUCCGUGCGCCCCGUUAACUGAACCCCCAAGGAAAAUGGCCCCGUGCCCUCAGCUAAUAACUGCUAGUCAGGACCGUGGAAAGCCAAGGUAAGCGGCCCAAGGCCACGGGACAGAGGUUGGCUCAUGCGAUGAGAACACGCAGGAGGAGAGCGAGAGGCCUCAGGCACAGUUGGAUCCAGAUUCACAGGCAGCGUCACCUGGAAACGUCUCUGCUUUCUGCUUCCCCUGCUGGCUUCACCCUCCGGCAGGCUCUCCCUAGCCUGCUUGGGUCUUGUCCCCGUGCCUGGAGCAUGUCCUGAUCGGAACGUCCUGGGUCACGUCCCCCACCCCUCACCCCCAGCAGGGUGGGGGAGAUCAGUCCCAUCGAUGAGCCACAAAGACCAAGAACGGAGAAGGGAUGAAAACCGGGGUGCUUUUACUGGAGGGAGGGACAGUGGGUGCUGGCUGGCAGGGCAAGGCAUGGCCAGCGUGGGGACAGAACGCCAGGAUCAGGCUGCCCGUCCUGGGGACCCUCUCGUGCCGCCCCCACGACAGGAAGCAGAGGUGAGAUUCCAGGUGUGGCCGGGAUGCGGCCCCGGGGCGCUGCCUCCCAGGCUGGCAGGAGGCUUCUGUUUCCUGGGUUACCGUUUGGGGAGCAUUUGGGUGUGUUCAGUGCUUGAAUCUCGAAACGAUGCCAGGAGGAAAGGCUGUAUCUCACCGUCCCCGUCAGACAGGGCGCAGGCUGGGGCUCUGGGCGUUCACCUGGGUGGUUCGCAGUCCUGCAGGCCUGGAUCCGAUCUGUGCUGCCUGACUCCCUCAGUCAGAGGAGACACCGAGGCCCAGGGAGGGGUCAGCCCCAGCUUCCUCGGCCCUGCCCCCCUGUCCUGGGCACCCCUGGACUCCUCUCAGCUCGCCUCUGUUUAGGUAACACUGUAUCUUUGAACAGGUAAUAUGGCCACAGGUUUCAAAAUUCAGAUGUGAGAAGUAGCCGCUGAGAAAUGUUACCCUUCUUAAAAGAAUUUUUUAACAUUUUUAUUUAUUUUUGAGAGACAGAGAGCACGAGCAGGGGAGGGGCAGGGAGAGGGAGACACAGAAUCCGAAG